CCGCACGCUGCCACUAGGGGGCACAGGAAAGAAUAAUAAACAGCAGAUAAAAGUCCCUGCUGACACUCAGAACAAUGGCACUGCUGCAAAGGCCCAGGGCGCCUGUGGAACUACGUCUCUCAGCAUUAACAUCAUUCCCACCUGUUAAUUGGAACAGUUUGUCUAGUAUGGCCAAAUCAGAACAGAAGGAGUCAGUGGCAGAAUAAGAUCAUAAAAGAGAAGACACAGAAUAAAAAGGAAUACGAAGGCCGACAA